rnacentral:lncRNA from 1 species
ACAUGACACUUUGUUAUGACUUCAUGGCGGUGUAGCAACAUGGAACAAGGUCCUACUCCUCCAGGAAGAUGAUGGAGAAUGCUGAAACUGUGCUCCAAGGCCACGAGAAGGAAAAGGCCUGGAUUUUCUCUUCACUCUCUUUCAGUCCUGCUGCCUCCCAGUUUCUCCAGGGGAGUUUUUGUCUCCCUAGGGCUUAAGGAGGAUCCUGGGCUCACGUGCUCAGGAUGUUUGAAAGAACCAAAAACAGGAAGGAGAAGAAACAGGCCCUGUUUGUUAGGAAGCAGAAAAACAAAGAUGCAGAGUGGUAUGGGAAGGAGAACACCUGCCUGAGAGACUGGGGUCUGAAUUCCAUCUCUGCCUUUCACUCCCCAUGUGACCUUGGGCUGGUCCAUGUACCACUGUAGACCUCAGUCUUCUCAUCUGCCCAAUGGAUAAGCAACUGGAUAUUUGAAGACCCUGUGGACAUGGAUUCCUAAUAAAGGUCCUUCGAAUUUUCACUACUUCUGGGUGUAGAUAAAAUUAAUUCACAUAUAAUGGAAAGACAAAAUGUGGUAUAUCCAUACAACAGAAUACUAUACAGGAAUAAAAAUGAAUGAAUCACAGAUACAAGCAACCACAUGGAUGAACCUCAGAAACAAGACUCUUCAGUGAAAGAGGCCAGACAUAAGAGACCAACCACUCCAUUCAGAUGGGAUGUCCAGAAAAAUGGAAUCUAUAGAGACAGAAAGAAAAUUGGGGUUACCUGGGAUGGGGGUGAGGGAUUGCAGUAAAUAUGCAUGAGGGAUAUUAUUGGGGUGAUGGAAAUGUUCCCAAAUUGAUUUACUGUGAUGGUAUGCAACUUUGUAGAUGUACUAAAAUGUCAUUGAAUUGUGCACUUGAAACAAGUGAAUGAUGUGUAAAAUGUGCAAUACAGUUAUUUAUAAAAUAAAAAAUUAACAUAUAUGCAUCACACUACUUAUAAUGCAUUUAAAAAUAACUUAUAGACAAUGUAACACAAAUAAAUAGUUUCUUUCCCAAGGAGG